CCUCUACCACGCUGUUCCAAAUCUGAUCCUCCCGCUGUUACACACACACUGACACACACACACAUACUCACUGACAGACACACACACAUACUCACUGACAGAUAGACACACAUACUCACUGGCAGACACACACACACACAUACUCACUGCCAGACACACACACUCACUGCCAGACACACACAUACUCACUGCCAGACACACACAAACAGACACACACAUACACACAGACUGACAGACACACACACAUACUCACUGACACACACAUACUCACAGACAGACACACACACAUACUCACAGACACACUGACAGACACAGACACACACAGACACACACACACACACUUACACAUUCUUGCACACACAUACUUUAUUUUAUUGCUCCAUACCUUUUGGUAUAGUGAUGCCGGGUGCUGGCAUAUGAUGUCAUAUUCCAACGCCCGGCUUCACUACAGACGGCGCACGCGAGAGAGCAGUGAGGAGCAGGAACACUGAGCUCCCUCGCUGGCUCUCCUCCUCGGCCGGGUAAGUUUUAGCAGAGUAGGCACCUGCAAUGUGGGGAAAGCAUGCGGCCCGCGAGCCGUAAGUUUGACAUGCUUGCUCUACUGCUUUUAUUUCCUGUAACAUUCUAUGUAGAUAUGAAAAUUCUAUGUAGAUAUGGGACUUAGUAUAGAAUGUAGAGCUUUCAGUGUAUGGAAAUGAGAAAUGCAAGAAGUUAUAUGGUCAUUGAGAGAUGUAUGGAAAGAGAAUGUAUGUGCAUUGAGAGAAGUAUGGCAAGUGGUUAUAUGGUAAUUGAGUGACGUAUGGAAAGAGAAUAUAUGGGCAUUGAGAGAUGUAUGGAAAGAGUCUAUACGGGCAGUGAAAGAAG